rnacentral:rRNA from 1 species
GAUGAACGCUGACAGAAUGCUUAACACAUGCAAGUCGACUCGAGUCUUCGGACUUGGGUGGCGCACGGGUGAGUAACGCGUAAAGAACUUGCCUCAAAGAGGGGGACAACAGUUGGAAACGACUGCUAAUACCGCAUAAGCCCACAGCUCGGCAUCGAGCAGAGGGAAAAGGAGUGAUCCGCUUUGAGAUGGCCUCGCGUCCGAUUAGCUGGUUGGUGAGGUAACGGCCCACCAAGGCGACGAUCGGUAGCCGGACUGAGAGGUUGAACGGCCACAUUGGGACUGAGACACGGCCCAG